GCCGCGAUGGUGGAAUUGGUAGACACGCAGCUCUCAAAAAGCUGUGAGGUUAAAACCUCAUGUCGGUUCGACUCCGACUCGCGGCA
rnacentral:tRNA from 1 species